rfam:Flavobacterium sp. CF136 PMI10_contig141.141, whole genome shotgun sequence.
UCCUAGCCCAGACAGAAACGGCAUCCUUUUGUGGCGGGGUUUGCCACAAAAGAUAAAGUGGAUGGCUGGAUUAGCU